rnacentral:antisense_RNA from 1 species
CUUCAGCGAACCGAGCCACAGCGGCCGGUCCUCGGGCCGGUCCUGGCCGUAGGUCGCGAUGAUCGCCUGCGCCUC